UGGGGUAUAGUAUAAAGGUUAGUAUCUCAAAUUCCAAAUUUGAUUGUGGUGGUUCAAGUCCAUCUGCCCCAG